rnacentral:rRNA from 1 species
UGACGACGAGACGCUGAGGCGUCGAAGCAGUGUACGUCAGACUUCCAAGAAAAGCUCGCAAUGUCAUAAAUAAAAACUGCCUGUACCAUAACCGACACAGGUGGGUAGGUAGAGUAUACUAAGGGGCGCGAGAUAACUCUCUCUAAGGAACUCGGCAAAAUGACUCCGUAACUUCGGGAGAAGGAGUGCCUUAUUUAUAAGGUUGCAAUAACAAGAUCCAAGCAACUGUUUAUCAAAAACACAGGUCUCCGCUAAGUCGUAAGACGAUGUAUGGGGGCUGACGCCUGCCCAGUGCCAGAAGGUUAAAGAAGUUGGUUAGUGUAUGCGAAGCUGAUGACUGAAGCCCUGGUGAACGGCGGCCGUAACGAUAACGGUCCUAAGGUAGCGAAAUUCCUUGUCGGGUAAGUUCCGACCCGCACGAAAGGCGUAAUGAUUUGGAUACUGUCUCGGAGAGAGGCUCGGUGAAAUAGACUUGUCUGUGAAGAUGCGGACUACCUGCACCAGGACAGAAAGACCCUAUGAAGCUUUACUGUAACUUGAAAUUGGAAUUGGACUUUGCUUGCGCAGUAUAGGUGGGAAGCGUUGAAGAUAUUCUUGCGGGAGUAUUGGAGCUAUCAGUGAGAUACCACUCUUGUAAUGUUAGAUUUCUAACUUUGAACCAUAAUCUGGUCAAAGAACAGUUUCAGGUGGGCAGUUUGACUGGGGCGGUCGCCUCCCAAAUGGUAACGGAGGCGUACAAAGGUUUCCUCUGAACGGAUAGAAAUCGUAUCUAGAGUGUAAAGGCAUAAGGAAGCUUGACUGUGAGACCUACAAGUCGAGCAGGGACGAAAGUCGGUCUUAGUGAUCUGACGGUACUGAGUGGAAAGGCCGUCACUCAACGGAUAAAAGUUACUCUAAGGAUAACAGGCUGAUCUCCCCCAAGAGUUCACAUCGACGGGGAGGUUUGGCACCUCGAUGUCGGCUCAUCGCAUCCUGGGGCGGUAGUACGUCCCAAGGGUUGGGCUGUUCGCCCAUGAAAGCGGUACGCGAGCUGGGUUCAGAACGUCGUGAGACAGUUCGGUCCAUAUCCGGUGUAGGCGUUAGAAUAUUGAGAGGAGCCUUCUUUAGUACGAGAGGACCGAGAAGGACACACCGCUGGUGUACCAGUUAUCGUGCCAACGGUAAACGCUGGGUAGCUAUGUGUGGAGUGGAUAACCGCUGAAAGCAUCUAAGUGGGAAGCCCACCUCAAGAUGAGUAUUCUCAU